rnacentral:rRNA from 1 species
UACACGAGUGGCGAACGGGUGAGUAACACGUGGGUGAUCUGCCCUGCACUUUGGGAUAAGCCUGGGAAACUGGGUCUAAUACCGGAUAGGACCACGGCCUUCAUGGGUUGUGGUGGAAAGCUUUUGCGGUGUGGGAUGGGCCCGCGGCCUAUCAGCUUGUUGGUGGGGUAAUGGCCUACCAAGGCGACGACGGGUAGCCGGCCUGAGAGGGUGUCCGGCCACACUGGGACUGAGAUACGGCCCAGACUCCUACGGGAGGCAGCAGUGGGGAAUAUUGCACAAUGGGCGCAAGCCUGAUGCAGCGACGCCGCGUGAGGGAUGACGGCCUUCGGGUUGUAAACCUCUUUCAGUAGGGACGAAGCGCAAGUGACGGUACCUAUAGAAGAAGCACCGGCCAACUACGUGCCAGCAGCCGCGGUAAUACGUAGGGUGCGAGCGUUGUCCGGAAUUACUGGGCGUAAAGAGCUCGUAGGUGGUUUGUCGCGUUGUUCGUGAAAACUCACAGCUUAACUGUGGGCGUGCGGGCGAUACGGGCAGACUGGAGUACUGCAGGGGAGACUGGAAUUCCUGGUGUAGCGGUGGAAUGCGCAGAUAUCAGGAGGAACACCGGUGGCSAAGGCGGGUCUCUGGGCAGUAACUGACGCUGAGGAGCGAAAGCGUGGGGAGCGAACAGGAAUUAGAUACCCUGGUAGUCCACGCCGUAAACGGUGGGUACUAGGUGUGGGUUUCCUYCCUUGGGAUCCGUGCCGUARCUAACGCAUUAAGUACCCCGCCUGGGGAGUACGGCCGCAAGGCUAAAACUCAAAGGAAUUGACGGGGGCCCGCACAAGCGGCGGAGCAUGUGGAUUAAUUCGAUGCAACGCGAAGAACCUUACCUGGGUUUGACAUGCACAGGACGCCGGCAGAGAUGUCGGUUCCCUUGUGGCCUGUGUGCAGGUGGUGCAUGGCUGUCGUCAGCUCGUGUCGUGAGAUGUUGGGUUAAGUCCCGCAACGAGCGCAACCCUUGUCUCAUGUUGCCAGCACGUUAUGGUGGGGACUCGUGAGAGACUGCCGGGGUCAACUCGGAGGAAGGUGGGGAUGACGUCAAGUCAUCAUGCCCCUUAUGUCCAGGGCUUCACACAUGCUACAAUGGCCGGUACAAAGGGCUGCGAUGCCGUGAGGUGGAGCGAAUCCUUUCAAAGCCGGUCUCAGUUCGGAUCGGGGUCUGCAACUCGACCCCGUGAAGUCGGAGUCGCUAGUAAUCGCAGAUCAGCAACGCUGCGGUGAAUACGUUCCCGGGCCUUGUACACACCGCCCGUCACGUCAUGAAAGUCGGUAACACCCGAAGCCGGUGGC